rnacentral:rRNA from 1 species
GAGCAUGUGGCUUAAUUUGACUCAACGCGGGGAAUCUUACCGGGUCCGGACACACUGAGGAUUGACAGACAGUUGUCUUUCCCUCCCUUCGGGGUGGGAUUACAAAAGAUAACAGAUCUUUCAUGAUCAUGUGAUGGGUGGUGCAUGGCCGUUCUUAGUUCGUGGAGUGAUCUGUCUGCUUAAUUGCGUUUCAAAUUUUAUAUUUGUUAACAUGCGAGUCUUCAAUGACGGCCGCUCCACCUUAUAGACAUUAUAUGAUAUGCACAUUUGUGUAUUUGAUUAUAACUUGUCUGGAGUCUGGCUCGAUUUUUUUGACUCAAUUGAACGCAACGGACGUGAUUGCAAGUCCUUGUUGAACAAAUUAUAUAUAUACUACUUCAUCAUUAGUAUAUAUAGUUCGCUUCUCAUGUCGUAGCAGUCAAACGGGCGGGCGUCUUAAUUGGCGCGGUCACGAGGCUUAAUAUGCUGCGGCAGGGAAAACUUGGGCGACCGCUGUAAUACUUCUCUCUUAAACCAGAGGAAGAUUGCGGCAAUAACAGGUCUGUGAUGC